rnacentral:rRNA from 1 species
UACGGAGGAUGCAAGCGUUAUCCGGAAUGAUUGGGCGUAAAGCGUCCGCAGGUGGCAAUGUAAGUCUGCUGUUAAAGAGUCUAGCUCAACUAGAUAAAAGCAGUGGAAACUACAUAGCUAGAGUACGUUCGGGGCAGAGGGAAUUCCUGGUGUAGCGGUGAAAUGCGUAGAUAUCGAGAGGAACACCUGCGGCGAAGGCGGGUUGCUGGGCGGUGAACCCGUAAGGGUUCAAUAGCCGACACUGAGGCGCGACAGCGUGGGGAGCAAACAGG